GGCUUAGAGUUUGAUCAUGGCUCAGGAUGAACGCUGGCGGCGCACAUAAGACAUGCAAGUCGAACGGAAGUCGUUAUAAAUGAAUUGAAGAUUUAUCUGAUUGAAAUUUAUAACAAUGGCUUUAGUGGCGGACUGGUGAGUAACGCGUAAGGAAUCUACCUAUUAGAGGGGAAUAACAAUGAGAAAUCAUUGCUAAUACCGCAUAUGCCAUAGUGAAGGCAUCUUCAUAGUGGGAAAGGAGCAAUUCGCUAAUAGAUGAUCUUGCGUCUGAUUAGUUAGUUGGUGGGGUAACGGCCUACCAAGACGACGAUCAGUAGCCGGACUGAGAGGUUGAACGGCCACAUUGGGACUGAGAUACGGCCCAGACUCCUACGGGAGGCAGCAGUCGGGAAUAUUGCGCAAUGGAGGAAACUCUGACGCAGUGACGCCGCGUAUAGGAAGAAGGUUUUCGGAUUGUAAACUAUUGUCGUUAGGGAAGAAAAAAGACAGUACCUAAGGAGGAAGCUCCGGCUAACUACGUGCCAGCAGCCGCGGUAAUACGUAGGGAGCAAGCGUUAUCCGGAUUUAUUGGGUGUAAAGGGUGCGUAGACGGGUAAUCAAGUUAGUUGUGAAAUCCCUUGGCUUAACUGAGGAACUGCAACUAAAACUGGUUAUCUUGAGUACAGGAGAGGUAAGUG
rnacentral:rRNA from 1 species